ACGAGGGAGUAUCACCACCUGAGCUCCGCCUCCUGUCAGAACAGCGGCGGCAUUAGAUUCUCACAGGGGCACGAGCCCCACUGUGGACUGCGCAUGCGAAGGACUUAGGUUGCGUGCACCUUACGAGAAGGUAAUGGUAAAUAUAAUGGGCUUGAAUCGUCUUGAAAGCAUCCACUCCCCUGUCUUGGAAAAACUGUCUUCCACAAAACCAGUCCCUGGUGCCAAAAUGGUUGAGGACCUCUGCAUUAUAGGCAUCGACACUUGGGCUGCUGUGGCACAGAACGUCACACCACCUAGACGGCAUGCCCUCACAGCAACAGCGGCGCAGAUCCACUCCUGCCUACCACCUAAGCUCCCCAAGCCCCAGUGGGGUGUUCAACAAAAGCAGUACUGAAUGCAAAGUGGAGAACAGGACUUUGCGUUAAUUCUGAUAAAAAUGUUACAAACCAUUCUGUCGCAAUGUGACGGUUGACUUUGGCUGGUCAAAAAGACCUUCAGGGGAUGGAGACCAACAACAGACUGUUGCAGGCUGAACGCCAAGGCCACUUGGGCAGGAAGCCAAAGAAAUAUCCCAGAUGCCAUCAAGCAAAAACUGUUGGCCUGGCAGCAUCCACUAAUCAAGAGGAGGUUCCAUAGCAGGAGGUGUCCCCAUGCAAUAAAGAAAAUAAGAAUUGGAUUAGUAGCAGCCAUCUGUGCAGGGGAGACUGAGCUCCGCAACUCUGUGUCCAUGAGGCUUGGCUGGUUAACGACAAAUACUGAAACUCAGUCUUGGCCUGAACCUGGUGACCUGGAGCUGGUGGAAGGCCUGGUGAGAGACAGCUCAGACACUGGCUCACUCUUUCCUGGCUGAAGCCUGACUCCUGGUGGACAGAAACAUCAGCGACAGACUUCUAUUUUCAAACGUCUACAUACACAUCUUAGGGAAAGUUUAUUUAUCCCCUCAUUUUGUCAUUCAACAAAUAUGUACUGAUCACAUUCUACAUGCCAAGCAUGAUGGGAAUGUAAAAAUAAAUUUGAGAUGACGUCUUUGAGGAAAACGGCUUCUCUCUACUUUCGUUCGCAUUUUCUUGUGUUUCAAUAGUAGGGUAUAGUGUGGUAGUUUUCUUCAUGUAAGUCCUACUCCUCAGUUACAAUUCAGUUUCUUUCCAGGUUGCUACUGAGAAUGGAAUAUUCUUCUUGGUGUCUUUUCUGAUUACAGUAGUGGCCCGGAAGCUAUGGAUUUUCAUGGGUUGUUUCCAUGUGGCCACUUUACUGGACUGUUAGCUGUUCGGACUCUUCUUCUUGGCUCUCAAGGUAUACAAUCACACAGAAAGAAUUUUGUUUCUCCUAAAAUAGAGCAGUAGUAGUUCUCAUUUCAGAGAUCUGUGCACACUGGGUAUUCUCCACCCUUCUCGCCUGGCUUUUUAACCAGGGAAACUUCUGGUUGGUCCUGCUAGUGGGAGGGACUGGCAGGAGAUGAGGGCAAGAGAGAGAGGAUUCAGACCAUGCAUUUCCUU
rnacentral:lncRNA from 1 species